GAGCUACUCCCUCCAUUCCAAAUUACUCGUCGCAGAAAUGGAUGUAUCUAGAACUAAAUUACAUCUAGAUACAUCCAUACCUGCAACAAGUAAUUCGGAACGGAGGGAGUAACUC
rfam:Triticum urartu cultivar G1812 contig58551, whole genome shotgun sequence.